rnacentral:tRNA from 1 species
UCCUCACUGGCUCAGUGGUAAAGAAUCUGCCUGUAAUGCAGGAGAUGCAGGUUCAGUCCCUGGGUCAGGAA